UGAGGAAUCUUCCACAAUGGGCGAAAGCCUGAUGGAGCAACGCCGCGUGCAGGAUGAAGGCCUUCGGGUCGUAAACUGCUUUUAUGAGUGAAGAAUAUGACGGUAACUCAUGAAUAAGCACCGGCUAACUACGUGCCAGCAGCCGCGGUCAUACGUAGGGUGCAAGCAUUAUCCGGAGUGACUGGGCGUAAAGAGUUGCGUAGGUGGUCAAGUAAGCGAAUAGUGAAAUCUGGUGGCUCAACCAUACAGACUAUUAUUCGAACUGCUUGACUCGAGAGUAGCAGAGGUAACUGGAAUUUCUAGUGUAGGAGUGAAAUCCGUAGAUAUUAGAAGGAACACCAAUGGCGUAGGCAGGUUACUAGGCUAUUUCUGACACUAAGGCACGAAAGCGUGGGGAGCGAACC
rnacentral:rRNA from 1 species